rnacentral:rRNA from 1 species
GACGAACGCUGGCGGCGUGCUUAACACAUGCAAGUCGAACGGAAAGGCCCUGCUUGCAGGGUACUCGAGUGGCGAACGGGUGAGUAACACGUGGGUGAUCUGCCCUGCACUUCGGGAUAAGCCUGGGAAACUGGGUCUAAUACCGGAUAGGAGCUAUUUUUAGUGUGAUGGUUGGAAAGUUUUUUCGGUGUAUGAUGAGCUGGCGGGCUAUCAGCUUGUUGGUGGGGUAAUGGCCUACCAAGGCGGCUACGGGUAGCCGGCCUGCGGGGGUGGACGGCCACACUGGGACUGAGAGACGGCCGAGACACCGACGGGAGGCAGCAGGGGGGAAUACUGCACAAGGGGCGCAAGCCGGAUGCAGCGACGCCGCGGGUGGGAAGACGGCCUUCGUGUUGAAAACUCCAUUCGCUAGGGACGAAGCUUGUUGUGACGGUACCUAGAUAAGAAGCACCGGCUAACUACGUG